rnacentral:lncRNA from 1 species
AUGCAGGGGUCGGGGGUCCAAAGAAGGGGUCGGGGGACCAGAAGAAGGCUGGGGGUCCAAGGAAGGGGUCGGGGGUCCCGCUCCCCUGGCCGGGCUCCCACCUGCUGCAGCUGCUGCUGGUUGACCUGGGGCUCACGCCGGGGUCCCCCCUCCUCGCCCCCCGCCUCCUCCUCCCCCCGCGGCCCCUCGCGCUCCCGGCCCAGGCGCUCGCGGAUGAGGGGCUCCCCGCGCAGGAUGUGGCACAGGAUGGCCAGCAUGGACUCGGCCAUGCGGCCGCCGUACACCUUCAGAGGCCGCCGGUUCCACAGCUGCUUGAUGCAGGUGAAGGCUGCCUGCGGGGGGGUCGAUGGGAUGAGGGUUACGGGGGGGGCAGGCGGACCCCUGAGUGAGCAGCGAGGAUGCUUCGCUCUGACCACACGUCUCCGUGUGCUCGUGGAGAUGUCCCCAAGUCCUCGUGGUCCCCAGUGUCCCCUUCCAUGUGUCCCCAAGUCCUCGUGGUCCCCAGUGUCCCCAUCCACGUGGCCCCAAGUCCUCGUGGUCCCCAACAUCCCCUCCAUGUGUCCCCAAGUCCUCGCAGUCCCCAGUGUCCCCUUCCAUGUGUCCCCAAGUCCUCAUGGUCUCCAAUGUCCCCUCCGCAAGUCCUCGCGGUCCCCAGUGUCCCCUUCUAUGUGUCCCCAAGUCCUCGUGGUCCCCAAUGUCCCCAUCCACGUGUCCCCAAGUCCUCAUGGGCCCAAAUGUCCCCUCCGCAAGUCUUCAUGGUCCCCAAUGUCCCCUCCACGUGCCCCCAAGUCCUUGUGGUCCCCAGUGUCCCCUCCAUGUGUCCCCAAAUCCUUGUAGUCCCCAAUGUCCCCUCCACAUGUCCCCAAGUCCUCAUGGUCCCCAGUGUCCCCUCCACGUGUCCCCAGGUCCUUGUGGUUCUUAAUAUCCCUUCCAGGAGCCCUCAAGCCCCCCACAGGAUCCCACAAAACCCUUUGGACCACACUCCAAUGUCCCACAGAAGCCCCCCAAGCCCCCCAAAGGACCCCUCCAAUAUCCCACAGGACCCCCCACGUUCCUACAGGACCCCUCUAAUAUCCCACAGCAGCCCCCCAAAGCUCCCCUGACCCCCUUGGACUCCCCCAAUUCCCCCAGUAGCCCCCAAACUCCCACAGGACCCCCACAUCCCCAUAGGACCCCUCCAAUACCCUAUAAGACCUUCCCAAACCCCCUUAGACCCCUCCAAACCCUCACAGGACCCCUUCAACUCCCCCCCCAACCCCCCAGACCUUCUGGGUGACGACGAGGAAGCGGAGGGCGCUGAAGUGGGGCUGCCCGUGGCCGGGGGCUUUGGCAGGGAGGGCGUGGGGGGAUUCGAGCACAGUGCUGGGGUUCACCAUCUUCUCCACCAGCAUCAGCCAGGCGUCCAGGAACUCCCCGGUGCCGUCGGGGAGCUCGGGAUGCUCCAAACCUUCCGCCACCGGCACCUUGCCCCCCAUGGAGAGCGCCCAGUUGAACGUCCUGGGGAAUGACAGAUAUCGGGGGAGGGGUGGGAGGUGGGGGGGGGGGGGGGGGGGGGCUCACUCGAAGAGAGCGUUGUGGCCGCCGGAGCAGAGGAACUUCUGCAGCAUGAGGUGGUAGGGGAACUUGCGCUCGUCGAAGAGCAUCGGGGACGUGAAGCCCACCGAGCAGAUGAAGAACGUCAGCCUGGGGGGGGGGGGGGAAGUGGGGGGGGGGGAGGACACACGGGAUGAAGCUCUGGCCCCCCCCCCCCCCCCCCCCCCCCCCCCCCCCCCCCAUAGCACUGUUCCCCGUCGGUUCCACCCUACACAAAUCCCAUUUUUUCCCCUUGACUCUCCCA